GGAAAGCUAGGUAAAAGCAGCCUCCGCAAAACUUGAAAACCGCCGAAGGGUCAAACCUUCCGUGGGUUCGAAUCCCACUCUCUCCGCCA
rnacentral:tRNA from 1 species